AUUGAACGCUGGCGGCAUGCCUUACACAUGCAAGUCGAACGGCAGCACGGGUGCUUGCACCUGGUGGCGAGUGGCGAACGGGUGAGUAAUACAUCGGAACAUGUCCUGUAGUGGGGGAUAGCCCGGCGAAAGCCGGAUUAAUACCGCAUACGAUCUACGGAUGAAAGCGGGGGACCUUCGGGCCUCGCGCUAUAGGGUUGGCCGAUGGCUGAUUAGCUAGUUGGUGGGGUAAAGGCCUACCAAGGCGACGAUCAGUAGCUGGUCUGAGAGGACGACCAGCCACACUGGGACUGAGACACGGCCCAGACUCCUACGGGAGGCAGCAGUGGGGAAUUUUGGACAAUGGGCGAAAGCCUGAUCCAGCACUGCCGCGUGUGUGAAGAAGGCCUUCGGGUUGUAAAGCACUUUUGUCCGGAAAGAAAUCCUUGGCCCUAAUACGGUCGGGGGAUGACGGUACCGGAAGAAUAAGCACCGGCUAACUACGUG
rnacentral:rRNA from 1 species